UGAGUACGAGCUGCUACGGCAGCGAAGUGGGUGACGUCAAGCUUCCAAGAAAAGCCCUAUACCCGUUAAGGCAUGAUGGCCUGUACCCGAAACCGACACAGGUGGGGUGGUAGAGAAUACCGAGGGGCGCGAGGUAACUCUCUCUAAGGAACUCGGCAAAAUGGCCCCGUAACUUCGGGAGAAGGGGUGCCACCGCAAGGUGGUCGCAGUGAAGAGGCCCAGGCGACUGUUUACCAAAAACACAGGUCUCCGCUAAGUCGCAAGACGAUGUAUGGGGGCUGACGCCUGCCCAGUGCCGGAAGGUUAAGGAAGCUGGUCAGCGUAAGCGAAGCUAGCGACUGAAGCCCCGGUGAACGGCGGCCGUAACGAUAACGGUCCUAAGGUAGCGAAAUUCCUUGUCGGGUAAGUUCCGACCCGCACGAAAGGCGUAACGAUCUGGGCGCUGUCUCGGAGAGAGGCUCGGCGAAAUAGAAUUGUCUGUGAAGAUGCGGACUACGUGCACCCGGACAGAAAGACCCUAUGAAGCUUUACUGUAGCUUGGUAUUGUGCUCGGGCUCGGAAUGCGCAGGAUAGGUGGGAGGCUAUGAACCAUUGCUUGUGGGUGAUGGUGAGCCACUGGUGAGAUACCACUCUUUCCGAGCUAGAGUUCUAACAGCCACCCGUUAUCCGGGGGCUGGACAGUAUCAGGUGGGCAGUUUGACUGGGGCGGUCGCCUCCUAAAAGGUAACGGAGGCGCGCAAAGGUUUGCUCAGGCUGGUUGGAAAUCAGCCGACGAGUGUAAAAGCAGAAGCAAGCUUGACUGUGAGACCUACAAGUCGAACAGGGAGGAAACUCGGCUUUAGUGAUCCGACGGUUCUGCGUGGAAGGGCCGUCGCUCAACGGAUAAAAGUUACUCUAGGAUAACAGGCUGAUCUCCCCCAAGAGUUCACAUCGACGGGGAGGUUUGGCACCUCGAUGUCGGCUCAUCGCAACCUGGGGCUGAAGUCGGUCCCAAGGGUUGGGCUGUUCGCCCAUUAAAGCGGUACGCGAGCUGGGUUCAGAACGUCGUGAGACAGUUCGGUCCAUAUCCGGUGCAUGCGCAGGAAUAUUGAGAGGAUUUCUCCCUAGUACGAGAGGACCGGGAGGAACGCACCUCUGGUGUACCAGUUAUCGUGCCAACGGUAAACGCUGGGUAGCCAUGUGCGGAGAGGAUAACCGCUGAAAGCAUCUAAGUGGGAAGCCCACCUCAAGAUGAGUAUUCCCAUGGGGUAACCCAGUAAGGUCACGGGAAGAACACCCGUUGAUAGGCUCUACGUGGAAGCGCAGUAAUGUGUGAAGCGGAGGAGUACUAAUAGACCGAGGGCUUGAUC
rnacentral:rRNA from 1 species